AUUCAAGGCCAGCCUGGGCUCCAUAGCAAGGCCCUGUCUCAAAAUUAAAAAAAUAAAAACAAGAUAGCUAGGCCUGGAGUGUUAAUUAAGUUUAUUCACAUUUUUCCAAACAUAUACAAUAUUAAAUAUAAGCUAAAAAUAAUACAUAGUUCUUAGAAAAUACUACCCAAUGCCCCCAUUGUCUGAGCUUCGUGAUUAUGUGCUCAGCCUUUGUUCUUCCAGAAUGAUAGUGAUCAUGUUGCUCAAAACAAGCAUAGAGUAACAGGAAACCUCCCCUAAAUAAAUUUUGUUAUUAUAAAACAAAUCCAAAGAGAGGCCUCUAAUGUCUUCAUUCAGGUAUCUGGAAUUUCAAAAUGGAAAUAAUUACUGAAGGAGCAAGCAGUGCUGUCCUAUCUAACACUAGCAAGGAGAGGCAGAUUUGGGCUGAAACUCUAAACACAGCCCCAUGCAAGGGCUUGUUAUCAAGCACACUUACCCUGAAUAACUCCCAUUCAUUUUGUUGUACAAAGACCCACUUCAAGAGCAAGUAUUUUUAAACGACCAAGUCACAAUUUUAGGAUCACCAUUUUUUAAAUAGAAACUGAUCAGAGACCACACAGGAAGGACCUUCUAUGGGUCAGGCACUGGCAGAAUGAAGCAGCACCAGCUUCACCCAGUUAAACAUACAACACAUGAACUACUCAUUCCCAAAGCAGUCAACUCACCCAGAAGUUUGGCUUCACUUCCAAAAUGUGCUUUGCUUCUCACCCUCUUUGCCUAUAACACUUUAGGAUAUUGUAAGCACCAAGAACUCUAACAUUCCAUUUACAAAGUUUAUGCCUACUACAGCAGUCAAGGGAUAGGGAUAGGGAAAGAUGCUACAGAUUUUUUCUUGGGAAAAUUAUACAGGAUUCUUUAUUUGAAGUUAAGGCUACCAAUAUCCCAACAACCACUUUGCUUGCUCUCUUCUUGCAACUUUAGUUCAGGUCCCGGUCCCACAACCUAAGCGUACAGUCCUUUUGAGUUGCCAGCAACUGACAAUGAAACACAAAGAUACUAUAUAUGAAAUGAACAUGUGCAUUGUGUGCAAGUCAAAUAACCUACAACCAAUUAUACCUUCAGCUAACUUUAAAAAAGAGUAAAAGCUGGACAUGGUGGUACAGGACUGUAAUCCCAGCUACUACAAUGCCUCAGGCAGGAGGCUCAUGAGUUCAAGGCUAUCUCCAACAACUUAGCAAGACCCUAUCUCAAAUAAAAAAAUAUGAAAGGCUGAGGAUAUAUCUUAGUUGUAGACUGCUUGACUAGCAUAUCCAAGGCCCUUGGUUCAAUCCCAGGCACCACCAAAAAAAAAAAAAAAAAAAAAGAAACCAUGAAAGUACUCAGGAAUUUUAUGGCGUAAGUGAGCAAACAACCAGGAAUGACAUAUUCAGACACCUUCUGAACAAGAGUAGUCAGAAGAAUAGAUUCAUAUUUUCUUCUUAAUCACUCAGGUCCUAUAGAGUGCUAGACAUUAUUACUUUAAUAUUCUAUUACUAAUUUUCAGGUAAAAGUAACACAAAAAAAUCAAAAAUAUGUUUAGGACAAAUUGUUUUAAUUAAAA
ensembl:lncRNA